GAAAUAACCUAAUCCCUUUUUUGUAAGACCCGCAUAGAAAUAUGCCACUGAUGUGAGUAAAGCCAAAGCAACAAUAGUAUUUAUAUCAUUCGUGGGUGCGACUAACUCCCCAUGAGGUAAUUGUAUGAUUUUCCAAGGUAAAAGAGCUCCUGACCAAUUAGAAACAAAAAUAAAUAAAAA